rnacentral:rRNA from 1 species
AGCAGCCGCGGUAAUUCCAGCUCCAAUAGCGUAUAUUAAAGUUGCUGCAGUUAAAAAGCUCGUAGUUGAAUUUCGGGACCAAUAUGUCGGUCGUGCCUCGGUACGUACUGGCAUCGUUGGUUUCUCCCUUCUGACGAACCAUGAUGUCAUUUAUUUGGUGUCGUGGGGAAUCAGGACUGUUACUUUGAAAAAAUUAGAGUGUUUAAAGCAGGCUAACGCUUGAAUACAUUAGCAUGGAAUAAUGAAAUAGGACGUUCGAUCCUAUUUUGUUGGUUUCUAGGAUUGACGUAAUGAUUAAUAGGGAUAGUUGGGGGCAUUAGUAUUCAAUUGUCAAAGGUGAAAUUCUUGGAUUUAUUGAAGACUAACUACUGCGAAAGCAUUUGCCAAGGAUGUUUUCAUUAAUCAAGAACGAAAGUUAGGGGAUCGAAGACGAUCAGAUACCGUCGUAGUCUUAACCAUAAACUAUGCCGACUAGGGAUCGGAUGAUGUUAAUUUUUAAUAGUAUCAUUCGGCGCCUUAA